rnacentral:rRNA from 1 species
GUGCCAGCAGCCGCGGUAAUACAGAGACUGCAAGCGUUACUCGGAUUCACUGGGCGUAAAGGGAGCGCAGGCGGACUGGUGUGUCAGGCGUGAAAUCCCGGGGCUCAACCCCGGGGCUGCGCCCGAAACUACCAGUCUAGAGACUUGGAGGGGUAAGCGGAAUUCUUGGUGGAGCAGUGAAAUGCGUAGAUAUCAAGAGGAACACCAACGGCGAAGGCAGCUUACUGGACAAGAUCUGACGCUCAGGCUCGAAAGCGUGGGGAGCAAAAGGGAUUAGAUACCCCUGUAGUCC